rnacentral:rRNA from 1 species
CACGUAGGGGGCGAGCGUUGUCCGGAUUUAUUGGGCGUAAAGAGCGUGUAGGCGGCUAUACAGGUCCGUUGUGAAAACUCGAGGCUCAACCUCGAGACGCCGAUGGAAACCGUAUGGCUAGAGUCCGGAAGAGGAGAGCGGAAUUCCUGGUGUAGCGGUGAAAUGCGCAGAUAUCAGGAGGAACACCAAUUGCGAAGGCAGCUCGCUGGGACGUUACUGACGCUGAGACGCGAAAGCGUGGGGAGCAAACAGG